UGCAGAGAGGAGCAGCACGAGCACGGGGUACCACUGAGCGCUGACUGCAGGAGCGCACCGCAGUCAGGCGGCUCCAGCCCCGGGUCCCGGGUGGGGUCUCCCCACAAGCACACGCAUACACAGGGGCUGAAGAAGGGCGAGGCUGUGGUGACCCCUCCCCCGAGAGGCUGCCCCGCGGGCUGAGCGGAGCCAGCCGCACUGCAGGGAGCAGAUGCAAUGGGAUGUAGCUAGCGUCCGAAGCCAAGGACAAGGCAAAGAAAAGGUGGCUGCUCUCUUGGAGGCAUCAGCCAGCUGGGCACUGGAUUUGUGGUGUAAGAAGAUCAGGACCAGCUUGAUGCAGUCAAGCCCACUGAGGCAUUAAUAAAUUAUGAUCGUAUCAGAUGA